rnacentral:rRNA from 1 species
UACGAGGGGUCCAAGCGUUGUUCGGAAUCACUGGGCGUAAAGCGGGUGUAGGUGGCUAGGCAAGUUGGAUGUGAAAGCCCCGGGCUCAACCCGGGAAGUGCAUCCAAAACUACUUAGCUUGAGUAAGGAAGAGGAUAGGAGAAUUCUUGGUGUAGUGGUGAAAUACGUAGAUAUCAAGAGGAACACCGGUGGCGAAGGCGCCUAUCUGGUCCAUUACUGACACUCAGACCCGAAAGCGUGGGUAGCAAAC